GCUCGAAAGAGAGCCGUAACACAGGUGCUGCAUGGCUGUCGUCAGCUCGUGUCGUGAGAUGUUGGGUUAAGUCCCGCAACGAGCGCAACCCUUGUCAUUAGUUGCUACAUUCAGUUGGGCACUCUAAUGAGACUGCCGGUGACAAACCGGAGGAAGGUGGGGAUGACGUCAAGUCCUCAUGGCCCUUAUAGGUGGGGCUACACACGUCAUACAAUGGAUGGUACAAAGGGUCGCCAACCCGCGAGGGGGAGCCAAUCCCAUAAAGCCAUUCGUAGUCCGGAUCGCAGUCUGCAACUCGACUGCGUGAAGUCGGAAUCGCUAGUAAUCGUGGAUCAGAAUGUCACGGUGAAUACGUUCCCGGGUCUU
rnacentral:rRNA from 1 species